AGAAAGGAUUUUUCCCUACUGAUUCUAAUUUUUUUUUCUUCUUAGGAGGGUCCUCAAAUCACAAUUUAUUUGUAGUGCCCAGCAUGUACACCUUUACAUGAGCACCUUUUCUUGUAACCCUCUUCAUGUGGCUUUGCAGCAGAGUACUCUGGUAGAGUACUCUUCCUGUGACCAUGGUCCCCCAGGAUCCUCUUAGUUGGCUCCACAUUUAGAGGCCUCCUGAGCCUUCCAGUGGCCACACUACUGGUUGACAGAUAAUAUGUCCUUUAAGAUUGUUAGGCGGACCUAAACCUCCUACUACAAAUGAAAAGUGCUUUACAGUUCAAAAGUACUGCUUGGGAAAGGAGUAACACCAACUACUAUCACCGCACUCAAAUAUGAAGGCUACAUUAUUUCAGCUUAAAAAUUAGUAUGGACAACUGAAGAUGGCCAGAAUUUUUUUGGUUAUUUCUCUCAUGUAGAGGUAGGAUCUACAUUUGCUUCCUCUUCAUUCAGUUAGAAGACAAGCAAAUAAAUUGAACCUAAACUUAUUAGAGAUUCCUCCAUGAUCAUAUGAACGCCAUGAUAAGGAUUUCAAUUACAUCACAGCUUCAUGUCUCUUUCUUCAAGCAACCUAUCAAAGCUAACCUGCAAGGAGAAGAAUGGGAAAUUAUGUGCCUUUCAGAGCUCUAUACAAAGAAGGCCUUUUUAAUAAUCACUCAAAAGCAUUCAAAUAUUUUCCUCUGUGACAAUAUAAAAAAGUGAGGAGUCCCACAAAUGUUUUUAUUCUCAACCUGGAUGUCUUAUUUGUGAUUAUUUAUCUUGACAACAGCAAAAAAUUUCAAGAAAUGCUUAAUGUAAUUGGUUUUUGUCCACACAUAAACACUUGGGACUCUAUUUAUAUACACUUUUGUACAGUAUGCUUUGAUU